UAAGGACGGGGGAGUCAGGGUGGCAUGGAUCUCAUGAAAACAGAAAGAUGAUCAGUGGAGUAAGCAAGGAGACAGAGGACAAGGAUCAAGCUUUCUGUUAAAAUUGGACUACCGCAGCAGGACCAUGCAGUAAUCACGCCCCCCAUCCCGGGCCCCAUCUACCCACUCCAGCUUUCUUGGGCAGGUCUGGCACUCCAAGCAAUCUCCACUUCCAUGCUAAGGAUACAAGGUGGCUGGUGAAUUUCUUGAGAGUUGACUGCUGGAAAUAUUGGGAGACGCCACAUCUUGACCCUGUUGAGAACUGCAACUUCUCCCUACAACCCUCUCCUCAACAGGCCAUCAGCUCCACCCCAGGAGAAGCCUGCCUUGGUUCCUGAUCUGAUCACCACGGUCUGAGAAGUAUACAUCUGUGGGACUCAAAGCCUAAGGCUUGAGACUUUUGAUCUGACACUUGAACUUAGCAUGCAGAGAGAUGUCUGGUAUGAGCCUGUCAUG